CAGUUGUCUUUGUUUGGGGCGGCUGCAGCGUGACAGGAGAGAGGGGCUCCCGGCCCGGUCUCCUCCACCCUUCGGCCUCAGCAACCGCUGCUGGCUCCAGCCUGUCGCUAUCUCACCCUCUUUAUUUAACAAAGAGCGGAGAGACUAGAAGUAACCCUGAGCAGCGUGGAUGCGGGCAGGGCCCCUGGGGCGUCCCACGGGCGUCAUCCUAGCCUCGUGAGCGCGGAGCCCGGGCACGGGGGCGGGGAGGGGGUUUUGGUGUGCUUAUGAGAACUUGCUCCGUUUUCUCUGUAAAACUGCCGCGAUGAGUGUCAGUCCCCAGAGCCGGAACAAUUCCCGGUUUUCUCCACUUGGGUCUGAGAACCUCUGUUCCUCCAGACCUGCGAGCACUUUGCCAGGGUGACGGGCGGAAAUGUCCCGCGUCCAUGCCUGCUUUCCCAGACCCUCCAACAGACCCCUCUACAGCCCCAGCUUUCUCCUAGCCACUUCCCUCCAGCGACCGCAGAAGGCGCUUCCUCCCCCGCAGCGCGAGCCCCAGCUCCUCCAGCGCCCCAGCUCUCCCCGCCCCCUCCCGACCUUGUUUCAUCUGACCCCUCCCCCGCACAUACUCAAUUUCAUCUUCCCGAGGCGCCCACUCUCCACAUCCUGAGGAAAAAAGAGCCGGCUGCUGUCCUA